rnacentral:rRNA from 1 species
UGCAGUCGAGCGGAACGAUGUAGCUUGCUACAGGCGUCGAGCGGCGGACGGGUGAGUAACGCGUAGGAACCUACCUAGUAGUUUGGGAUAGCCCAGAGAAAUUUGGAUUAAUACCGAAUACGCCCCACGGGGGAAAGCGGAGGAUCUUCGGACUUCGCGCUAUUAGAUGGGCCUGCGUAAGAUUAGCUUGUUGGUGAGGUAAUGGCUCACCAAGGCAACGAUCUUUAGCUGGUUUGAGAGGAUGAUCAGCCACACUGGGACUGAGACACGGCCCAGACUCCUACGGGAGGCAGCAGUGGGGAAUAUUGCACAAUGGGCGAAAGCCUGAUGCAGCCAUACCGCGUGUGUGAAGAAGGCUCUAGGGUUGUAAAGCACUUUCAGUAGGGAGGAAAGGUUGUAGAUUAAUACUCUGCAGCUGUGACGUUACCUACAGAAGAAGGACCGGCUAACUCCGUGCCAGCAGCCGCGGUAAUACGGAGGGUCCGAGCGUUAAUCGGAAUUACUGGGCGUAAAGCGUACGUAGGUGGUUUGUUAAGUUGGAUGUGAAAGCCCAGGGCUCAAUCUUGGAACUGCAUUCAAAACUGAUGAACUAGAAUAUGGUAGAGG